UUUCCAAUCGAAUAAAUCUUAAAAUCUGUGAUGAACAUUGAAUAAAUCAUUAAAAAGAAAUCACUGAAGAAGUCUGUGGUAAAAAGAUUAAUCUAAUCGGCGCGAUUUUAUCCAAUUUUUACGAUCUCUUUCGAGAGGCGCUUAUUUAUAUCGUAGCAUUUUCUAUCGCACGCACACACGCUGUACGACAAGGCUAACACAACUUCCUUUUAACAAUACUAUAUAGAUUUAUAUAUGUGUACGAUGCGAAACUGAGCCACUCUGUGCGAGGGGAAAAGGGGAGACAGAGUUAUUAUAACAGCUCGAGGUGUCCUUCACUGUACAGUUGCAAGAAUUACGCUUUAGAGACGAAAAUUAUAUGACCAAUGUAAAAUAAAAAAAUAUCGGAAGAAUAUAUAUGUAAAUAUAUACAUAUAUUUACACAUGGCACGUAUACACAGGAAGCGUGUUAAUGCGAGAGUGGCGCGAAUAAAUCGUUCGAUUCUCGCCCUUCUUCUGCGCGAAAGGACUCUACCGUAUGCGAUUACAUUCCUGUGUCAUAUCGCUACGGAUGUACUCUCGAUCGGACGUUUACCCAAAUAAAUCGACCGGCACAUGUAUCGCAAGACAAUUAGGCGCAAAUGCGAUUACAUCAAGAGACUAAGAUGUGUAUCAGCUGUAUAAGGCGAUGCAAGCGAAACGAAGAGAAAAAUGUAGAUUGAAGCGAGAAAGGGUAGAGUAAAGCGAAGCGAAAUGAAGUAACCUUAUAUAUGUGAAGUAUAUAUGUACACAUACCUUUUUCAAGCUCGAGAAGCCACCCGUACAUAAUACCGCGUAGAUCUCCUUCUCGAAACCCAUGCAGACAACGGAGGAGAUGAUGAGGAUCGCGCCUGUUAAACUGGUUGACGUGGGUUUCUCGCCGAACAGCGCCUUUGUGACCAACACCUGACCGGUAAGGCCAG